AUUGAACGCUGGCGGCAGGCUUAACACAUGCAAGUCGAGCGAGCGGCGGACGGGUGAGGAAUGUCUGGGAAACUGCCUGAUGGAGGGGGAUAACUACUGGAAACGGUAGCUAAUACCGCAUACCAUCAGAUGUGCCCAGAUGGGAUUGGCUAGUCGGUGGGGUAAUGGCUCACCUAGGCGACGAUCCCUAGCUGGUCUGAGAGGAUGACCAGCCACACUGGAAGUGAGACACGGUCCGGACUCCUACGGGAGGCAGCAUUGGGGAAUAUUGCGAAAUGGGCGCAAGCCUGAGGCAGACAUGCCGCGUGGGUGAAUAAGGCCUUCGGGUUGUAAAGCACUUUCAGCGGGGAGGGGUUACUCGCAGAAGAAGCACCGGCUAGCUCCGUGCCAGCAGCCGCGGUAAUUC
rnacentral:rRNA from 1 species